GGAGAGGGGCUGGGUUUGGCUGGGUGGGAGUGGGUGAGGGGGCUGUGGGUGGUGCUGCAGGUAUGAUGCUCCAGUGGGCAUGCUCAGAUUACUCUGGAAGAAAAACAACAGCAGUGGUCAAAACACUGUUAUCUCCUCUCAUGUCCUUGGUUAUUUGGACAACAAGCUGUAACAGCCAGUGGGACCUGAGGGCCAGAGUCCAGCAGAGUUCGGUGAUUUCACUGCUCUGACACAUUAACUGAACUUCUUAACUGACUGCUAAUAACUGGUUGAAUCAGGUCUGUUUGAGGAGGGAAAUCACCAAACUCUGCCGCGGUCUGUGCCUCCAGGACGGGAGUUCCCCACUCCUGCAUUAAAAGACAGACAGCCUCAUUACAGCUAAUUAUCAAGCGCUGAAUGAGCUGAAUCAGUGAUGAAAAGUGUGUCUACCUGAGUGGAAGCCUGCAUGGCAGCCAUGGGCUGGUCCAUGGACGUAAACGCAGAGAUAGCAGACAUGAGAACCUCAUCGCUGACCAGAACGUUCCCCUGCACCAGCGUGUGUGUGAGAGGAGAGGGAGGAACUGUGAUGGGGCUGCGGCACAGCGCUGAUGGAGGGGACGGAGGUGUAGGCAUUGCUGGAGGCCAGAGACACGGUGGCCAGUGAGGGGGUGUUGGGCUGGCACUGCUCCCUCUUAUGUGUCAUGAAUGCAGGCAAGGAGUUAAACUGCUUCUUACACUUUCCACAGAGGAAGACGUCAUCAUCAUCUGCGAAACAUCAACACAGUAGUCAUGUUUAAAGUUCCUGUUAAAACAGCUUAAAUUCUAACAGUUAGACCCCCAGCUUUCAUAACUACAUAUUAGUUACAGAAUAAUUAUUGGAAUUAAUAAAUGAAUAAUAAGCCUGUAGUUUAAGGAAAAGCCAAACGUAGUAGAUUCAGUACUGUGUGUGGGAGUAGCUGAUUUUGAUAAUUGCGUAAAAGAAAACAAGCCGUCAUCCGGACUGUCUUGAAUCUCAGGACAGACUGGGUAUUCCUGGUUGGUCACCGUGGUGCUGAACUGAAGGGCGGCUACAAGAGCUAAUUUGAGGCAUUCAGCCUCCUGGCAGCGCUCCCAAACUGAGCGCUGUUGGGCAGUAAAAUGACCAAUGUUUGUUGUAAAAUGAUAAAUUUAGAAUACUUUACAGCCCACAGGCCUACUUUGGACAGAAAUGUAACAUUUAAAAAUACUCUCUGUACAUCAGCAACAACACAGAACAGAAAACGCUGCUCACCCAUUGGCUGGAUGGUCGUCCCUGAGACAGUCUGAGUACUGGGAUCUGGGACACCACCUUGGCCAUCCAGAAGGGACUGGACAGCAAGGACCGUCUGGUUGUCCAUUCCUAUUCAGGAGCAGAAUGAGGCUUAAUUAAUGCAUCUGUGAAAGAUUUUAGUCACCAGAGCCACUGAACUGUGCAGCAGCAGAAAGUCAGGGCAACUAGACUGCUGGUAUAAUCAUCUGAGUGGGUGGUAACCAGUACCACUUACUCCUUCCUCAGUAUCUCCAAAUGAUAAUACUUCACUUCUACUCAAGCAUAUCUGUGAGGAAGGAAAUCUACUUUACUCAGUCACAUUUUAUUUAGUAACAUUUAGAUACUAAUAUGAUACACUGGUGAAAGCACCAGUACUGCUUUGGGACUGCUCACACCUCUUCAGCACUGCAUUUUAGACCAAACAGACUGAACCUAACAAACUUUAGUUACUUUUGAACAUCUUUCUCAAGUUGUUUUUGAAAAGGUACUUUUAAUUUUACAUAACUCACUAUUUCACCAAACUAAUAACACCUUCAUUUGACCAUAGGUUUAGAUUACUGUGUGGGGACCCAGCGGCUUUAAGACAUCUUCAAAAUUUCUCCAGUUGUUCAGACGCAAUUAAAGUCAUUCAAGGCUGAUGUGAAAUGAUUCACUGUAAACAAAAGAACGGACUUAGACUUAUCAUAAUAAAUUUAUUUAGUAUCCCAAA